GUCCGUGGUGAUUUAUCCGUUGGUUUGAGAUGUAGAUUUCUUCAAGCCCUGAUUUUCAGGGGAACCCACUUGGGGUGCUACAUCAUUCAUGAAACUACCGGAUAUUCCUGAGAC